UACAGAGGUCUCGAGCGUUGUUCGGAUUCAUUGGGCGUAAAGGGUGCGUAGGUGGUUAGGUAAGUCGGAUGUGAAAUCCCGGGGCUCAACCCCGGAACUGCAUUCGAUACUGCCUGACUAGAGUACUGGAGAGGAGAUCGGAAUUUACGGUGUAGCAGUGAAAUGCGUAGAUAUCGUAAGGAAGACCAGUGGCGAAGGCGGAUCUCUGGACAGUUACUGACACUGAGGCACGAAGGCCAGGGGAGCAAACGGG
rnacentral:rRNA from 1 species